GAUGAACGCUAGCGGCAGGCUUAACACAUGCAAGUCGAGGGGCAGCGGGGUCUUCGGACCGCCGGCGACCGGCGCACGGGUGCGUAACGCGUAUGCAACCUACCUUUCACACGGGGAUAAUCCGGAGAAAUCUGGUCUAAUACCCCAUAACACAUUUUACGGCAUCGUAGAUUGUUGAAAUUUUCGGAGGUGAAAGAUGGGCAUGCGUGACAUUAGCUAGAUGGUGAGGUAACGGCUCACCAUGGCAACGAUGUCUAGGGGGACUGAGAGGUUGACCCCGCACACUGGUACUGAGACACGGGCCAGACUCCUACGGGAGGCAGAAGUGAGGAAGAUUGGUCAAUGGGCGAGAGCCUGAACCAGCCAAGUAGCGUGAAGGAUGACUGCCCUAUGGGUUGUAAACUUCUUUUGUAUGGGAAUAAAUGACAUUACGUGUAGUGUUUUGUAUGUACCAUGAUGAAUAAGCAUCGGCUAACUCCGUGCCAGCAGCCGCAGU
rnacentral:rRNA from 1 species